CCUACGGGAGGCAGCAGUGAGGAAUAUUGGUCAAUGGCCGAGAGGCUGAACCAGCCAAGUCGCGUGAGGGAAGACGGCCCUACGGGUUGUAAACCGCUUUUGUCGGGGAGCAAAGCGAGUCACGUGUGACGCAUUGAGAGUACCCGAAGAAAAAGCAGCGGCUAACUCCGUGCCAGCAGCCGCGGUAAUACGGAGGAUGCGAGCGUUAUCCGGAUUUAUUGGGUUUAAAGGGUGCGCAGGCGGAGGUGCAAGUCAGCGGUCAAAUUGCGGGGCUCAACCCCGUACUGCCGUUGAAACUGCAUCCCUUGAGUGCGCGAGAAGUAUGCGGAAUGCGUGGUGUAGCGGUGACAUGCAUAGAUCUCACGCAGAACUCCGAUUGCGAAGGCAGCAUACCGGCGCGCAACUGACGCUCAUGCACGAAAGCGUGGGUAUCGAACAGGAUUAGAUACCCUUGUAGUC
rnacentral:rRNA from 1 species